UAGCAAAGCUGAGGCCAGA
rnacentral:piRNA from 1 species